rnacentral:lncRNA from 1 species
CCCAUUGCGUCGGAUAUCUUUUGUAUCUCUUCAGCCAAUUGUACCUUUUCGGUGUCGUGUGCUACAAUUCCUAGCCAAAUUUUUUGUUGAAGUCUAUUGACUUCUUUCUCAGCCUCAUCAAGUUUCUUGUGAGCCUUUUGAAGUCUCUCUUCCCGAUCGACAGCCUCUCCUUUGAAAAAUUUAAGUUUCUCCUCUAGGCUCUUGAUAUGAGCUUUAAUAUUAACCACCAU